CAUUUAAUUAUUUUAUUUUAUUUAACAUUUUAUUUUAUUUAAUUAUUCUAAUUUUUAUUAGUUUUUUAAUUAGAAUUGAUUUAUUUAAUUAUAGUGAAUAAGUAAAGUAAUUGGAUUAUAAAGUUUUAUUAGAAUUUAAUAAGUACUUUUGGUUUAAGGUACCUUUUGUAUCAGGGUUGAUUAAUAUUUUUGUGUCAAUUUACUUAUCUCGAUUUAGGUUGAUUUAUAAUUAAAUUUUUUUAUUGUGUUAAGAAUAUUUUAAAUUUAAUUAUAGAAGUGAAAUGUUAUUCGUUUCCUAAGAUAUCUAGUUUUUCAAGAAAAAUUUUAAUUUUUUAUGGUUUAUUGAUUAUUUACAAUUUUUUGUUUAUAAUUAUUUACUUAUUAAUACUUUAGGGGAUAAGCUCUUGAGUUAAUUUAUUCUAUAAUAUUUAAUUGAUAAUUUAAGAGUAGGCUUUUAACCAGUUAUCUUUUUGAUUACGUUUUAGUUCAUUUUUUAAUUUAUGAUUUAUAAUAAUGUUCUUAGUUAUUUUAUUGAAAUAUUUAAGUUAAUUUUAUUUUUAUUUUAAUUAUGAUUGAAUUAGUAUAUUUUUAUAUUUAAUUUGUUUUUGUUUAUAAUUUGAUUUAAGGAAUUAGGCAAAAAUUUUCUUCGCCUGUUUAUCAAAAACAUGUCUUUUUGAAUAAUAAUAUAAGGUCUGACCUGCUCACUGAGUUAUUUUAAAGAGCCGCGGUAUUUUGACCGUGCAAAGGUAGCAUAAUCAUUAGUCUUUUAAUUGGAGGCUGGAAUGAAUGGUCUGACGAAAGGGGGACUGUCUAGAUUUUAAUUAAUAAAAUUUAACUUUUAAGUUAAAAGGCUUAAAUUUGACUUUAGGACGAAAAGACCCUAUAGAGCUUUAUAUUUUAUUUAAGAUCAUUUUUUUGAUAAUUUAUUUUGUUUAUUAAUUAAAAUAUUUUGUUGGGGUGACAGAAAGAAUAAUUAAACUCUUUAUGAUUAAUAUCAUUGAUUUAUGAAGGAUUGAUCCAUAAUUUAUGAUUAUAAGAUUAAGUUACCUUAGGGAUAACAGCGUAAUUAUUUUUUAGAGUUCAUAUCAACAAAAUAGAUUGCGACCUCGAUGUUGGAUUAAGAAAAGUUUUAGGUGUAUCAGUUUAAAAACUAGGUCUGUUCGACCUUUAAAAUCUUACAUGAUCUGAGUUCAGACCGGUGUAAGCCAGGUCGGUUUCUAUCCUAAGUUUAUGUUUUAUAUUAGUACGAAAGGACCAUAUAAUUGAAAUAUUUUUUAUAUUUAUUGAUUUAUGUUAAUUU
rnacentral:rRNA from 1 species